CUUGAUCCACUUAUUUGGAAAAUUGGUCGGAAAUUAAUUUCCAAAAUAGACUCUGCUGCUGUUUUUCUGAACUUCUAUUGUCGGAUGGUGAAUAGUGACUUUGGUUUUUAAUUUCUUUCUUUGAGUUUUCUUGAGGUAUUUGGGACCAGGUAUUGUCCCAAAUCUUGAUCCUCAAGUUCUAAUCACUUUGAUACUUCAAUUGCAUACUUUUGCUGAAUUUUCCUGAAUUUCAAAUUCAAAAUUCAAAUUUCGGUCAAAUUUGAUUCGAAUUUGAUUUUUAGCCAAUUUCUUCUCCUUUCCUUCAUGAUUUGCUUCUAUUUAUUCAGAGUUACUUUGAUGACUAAAAAUGGCAGGUAUUACAGCAUCUCCCCCUUAACAGAAUCUCGUCCCGAGAUUCCCGGGGUCAAAUCCUCGGCUUUGGGAAUGGAAAGGAAACUGCCUCAGACAUACUAUCUUUUUCUUUUCUGUAUAAGGAGGGUGGGGUGGUGGCUUCUGUUCAUUUGAUGCUGACAGCUUCAAAUAGUUCAGGAUAUUUAGACUCUAGGUCUUCAGCCUGUUCCCAGGUAGCUUCAUCUGGAGUAUGAUUUUUCCAUUGUACCUUGUAAAACGUAAUACUCCGAGUUCGGGUAUCUCUUGUCUUUCGAUCCAGAAUUUUAAUAGGCCUUUCUUCAUAGGUUAGAUCUGGUUCGAGCUCAAUUUCUGGAUCUUCUAGAAUCUCUUAUGGAACUCUUAAGCACUUCUUAAGCUGGGAUACAUGAAACACAUCAUGUAUAGAAGUAAGUUGGUCUGGUAAUGACAGCUUGUAUCCUACCGGACCCUUUCGUUCCAGAAUUUCAUAAGGACCAAUGUCCCUUGGGGCUAGUUUACCCUUUAUUCCAAAACGUUGUACUCCUUUCAUCGGAGAUACCUUCAGGUACACAAAAUCUCCGAUAUGAAAUUCCAAAGACUGUCUCCUUUUAUCUGAAUAACUCUUUUGUCGAGACUGGGCUAUUUCCAAAUGUUUACGAAUUUUCCGGACCUUUUCCUCGGUUUCCAUAACCAAAUCUGAUCCCAAAUAUGUCCUUUCUCCUACUUCCGACCAAUUCAAGGGGGUUCGGCAUCUUCGACCAUACAAGGCUUCGAAAGGUGCCAUUUUGAUACUAGCUUGAUAACUAUUAUUAUAGGAGAACUCAGCUAGGGGCAAACAUUCGUCCCAUAGCUUAGAGAAGGUAAGGACACAUGCUCUUAACAUAUCCUCCAAGAUUUGAUUGACUCUUUCUGUCUGUCCUCCAGUUUGGGGAUGAUAGGCAUAGCUUCUGAUUAAAGUAGUGCCCAUGUUUUUUUGUAGUUGUUCCCAAAAUCUGGAAACAAACUGGGAGCCUCGAUCGGAGAUAAUUGUCUUUGGUACUCCGUGCAAGGAUACGAUCCGGGCUAUAUAGAGUUUCGCAUAUGUCGACACUGGGUAGGUAGUCUUGACGGGGAUGAAAUGGGCUGACUUAGUGAGUCGGUCGACAAUAACCCAUAUGGAAUCAUAUCCUUUUGAAGUGGUAGGCAAUCCAACUAUAAAGUCCAUGGAAAUAUCCUCCCAUUUUCAGACAGGGAUUUCUGAAGGUUGAAGCAAACCUGCCGACUUUUGUAGUAUGGGUUUAACUCUCCGGCAGGUAUCGCACUCGGCUACAUAUCUUGCAAUUUCAGGUUUCGUCUUGGCCCACCAGAAUCUUUGCUUUAAAUCUUGGUACAUUUUAUUGCUUCCGGGAUGAAUGGCGAGCUUAGAUAGAUGUGCUUCAUUUAAGAUCAAUUUUCUUAGGCUUUCAUCCUUAGGAACUACUAUCCUUUUCUUGAAAUAUAGUCCUCCAUCUUCUUCUUGAGUGAGUUCGGGAAUCUUUCCUUCUGUUCUUUGUUGAUAGAGCACCUUAAUCCAAGGAUCUUCUUUUUGGGCUGUUAUGAUUCUCCCCUUCAAGGUGUCUUGUACAAUAAUGUUCUGGAGGGCACCUUGUUUUACUAUUUCCAAGCUUAAAUCUUCCAAUUCUUCACAUAGGGUCUUAAGGUUAGAUUGGAUAGUAGUGCAGUGGCAUUGGGCCUUUCUGCUCAAAGCAUGAGCCACCACAUUAGCCUUACCAGGAUGAUAGUGGAUUUUUAACUUAUAAUCUUUAAUUAACUCCAACCACCAUCUUUGCCUCAUGUUCAAAUCCAUUUGAGUGAAGAUGUAUUUUAAGCUUUUGUGGUCAGUAAAGAUACGACAUUCACUACCUAGAAGAUAGUGUCGCCAUAUCUUUAAUGCAUGGACUACAGCAGCAAGCUCUAAAUCAUGGGUAGGGUAGUGCUCUUCAUGACGCUUCAGUUGACGAGAAGCAUAAGCAAUAACUCUGCCUUCUUGCAUAAGAACACACCCUAUCCCUAUUCCUCAAGCAUCACAGUACACGUCAAAGGGCUUCUCUAUAUCAGGUUGAGCUAGCACUGGGGCUGUAGUCAGUAGCUUCUUUAGGGUUUGAAACGAUUCUUCACAUUCGGGUUUCCACUCAAAUUUCACUUCUUUCUUUAAUAACUCUGUGAUUGGUUUGGAAAUUUUUGAGAAAUUGGGGAUGAAUCUACGGUAAUACCCAGCCAUUCCCAAGAAACUUCUUACUUCAUGUACAGAGGUUGGUGAUUUCUAAUCCAAUAUGUCCUUGACUUUUCCGGGAUCUACUUCAAUUCCUUUUUCGGACAGUAUGUGCCCAAGGAAUGGAACCUUCUUUAACCAGAAUUCACAUUUGCUAAACUUGGCAUAUAACUGGUGUUCCCGGAGUCUACUUAGAACAAUACGCAGGUGUUGCGCAUGUUCUUCUUCAUUUUUAGAAAAGACGAGGACAUCAUAUAUAAAGACGACCACAAAUUUAUCUAAUUCUGGCAUGAAUACCGAAUUCAUGAGGUACAUAAAAUGCGCUGGGGCAUUUGUCAGUCCGAAAGACAUAACCAAAUACUCAUACAAUCCAUAUCGGGUUGAGAAGGCUGUUUUAGGUAUGUCUUCGGGUUUUAUCUUAAUCUUAUGAUAUUCUGACCGAAGGUCGAUUUUUGAAAAGACCUUGGCUCCAGCGAGUUGAUCAAAUAACAAGUCAAUCCAUGGCAACGGAUACUUGUUUUUAAUGGUUACCGCAUUCAAAGGACGGUAAUCCACACACAACCUCAACGUGCCAUCUUUCUUUUUAACAAAUAGAGCAGGGCAGCCCCAUGGUGAAGUGCUAGGUCGGACAAAACCUUUAUCCAGCAAUUCUUGGAGUUGUACUUUUAAUUCUGCUAACUCCUUAGGUGGCAUCCGAUACGGCCUUCUCGAGAUAGGACCAGUACCCGGUUCUAACUCAAUAGUAAACUCUACUGCUCUAUCAGGUGGUAGUCCAGGUAGAUCUUCUGGGAAUACAUCUACAAACUUAUUAACCACAGGAAUAGAUUCUAGAGUCACUGCUCUAGUCUUUUUGACCAUCUGGUCCAGACAGGGAUGAGCGGGUAAUUGGAGCUCAAAAGGAUGGCCUUGGUCAUCUCUCAUACUAAUGACCCGAUUAUCCAUAUUGAUUUGAACUUUAUGUUCCUUCAUCCAAUUUACACCCAAAAUAAUAUCUAUUCCUUGAUCUUCCAAAAUUAAAGGAUAAGCACCCACCUUAUUUCCUUCUAAGUUCAAAAUCACAUUGCGAGCUACCUGAUUUGUAUUUUGAGUAGCUCCGGUAGCUUGAAUAGCAUAUUUGACAUUUAAGGUGUGUACUUUUAGUUGGUGUUGCGUAACAAACUUUCUACUUAUAAAAGUAUGUGAUGCACCCGAAUCAAAUAAAAUCAUGGCAGGAUAAUCAUUGACAAGGUACAUACCUGCCAGAAUAGGCUCUCCUUCUGGAAUCUCCUCCACAUUCAUAUAAUGAGCCUGCCCCGUCUUGGUGUUCAGAAAUUUGCGACGAACAAACUUCUGUCCGGUGCCUUGACCAGAGGUUUGAGCCCUUAAAUUCGCGUUUCCCCCAACUUUGGGAAAACGGCAGUCCCGGGCAAAGUGUCCCGGCUUCCCACAGUUAAAACAAACCUGUGGAUUCCCUGGAGGAGUAGGGUUACAAAACCCAAGAGGUGGUGCAUUUCCAGGACGAGGAGCAUUAAUAGGAGCUCUGACAUUCCAGCGCUGAAAGGGCCUCUGCUGAAAAGAAGGCCGAUACGCGGGUCGAGGAGGACCUCGGUAUACCACCUUCAUUCUCUGUGGGGUACUCCCGAAGGUUCCAAAAGGAAUAUUCUUCCUCUUCAAGGAUUCUUCUUUCUUUAAAGUUUCAUCUAAGAUCCUCAUAUUUUCUUCUGCAGUAAUGGCUGUGCUUACCGCAGAACUAUAGUCAGCAAAGGUGCAGGUGGACAGCUUCUCCUGCAUUCGUGCAUUAAGCCCACGAAGAUAACAAUCUCUUUUUCUGGACUCUGUAUUGACAUGUUCCGGUGCAUACUGGGCUAAGUGAUCAAACUCAUUGGUGUAUUCCAGAAUGCUACGGGUUCCUUGCUGCAGCCCUAGGAAUUGCUCCAGCUUCAUACGCAUAAUACCUUCUGGCACAAACUGUGUCCGGAAGGCUUCCUUGAAGUUCUCCCAUGUAACUUCCCUUCCCACUGGUUGUCUUGCCAGAUAACUGGUCCACCAGGUCCCAGCGGGACCUUGGAGCUGGAGUCCAGCAAACUCCGCCUUCUGGGUGGUGGUGCACUAGGAAAUCACCCAAAAUUUCUGCUCCAUCGUCUGAAGCCAUUCAUUAGCUUCCAGUGGGUGCUCAGCUUUCAAGAAUAUUGGAGGACGAGUUUCCAGGAACUGGGUGUAGGAUACACCCCGUUCUGGGUCCGUAGGUUUCCACCAUUACCGGUGUUUUGCACGAUCAUUUGAAGUAGUCGAGCCUAUUCGGCUCCUGAAUUCAUGAGGCUGGCUAUAGCAUCUACCAGCGUUGGAGCUCUAGGUAAAUUCUCCUUGUGGCCCCCUGACCCUGAAGCUCGUGGACCUCUCGGAUCCGUCAUGCUGUCAAAAGCAAACAGAGUAUUAAUAUCUAAAUUACAUUUCACCAACAGUUCCCUGUGCACACUAGUAUUUCACACAUCACAGCAUGACUAUCGUAAUUACACACAAACCACACUUAUAUACAUAUUUAUUUAUAUUACAUGACUUGAAGUUACUUUUUACAAAACCACCGUACUACCUCGUCUACUGCCUUUAUCUUACAUAAAUACAUCACAACAUCUCUUGGUUACGAUCUGGCUUCAACCAUCGUAGGGGUAGAUGCCUAGCUCUUCACCAUUUAGUUCCAGCCGGGCCAUCGCAGCCUGCAGAAUAUCCUGGUCCACUGUCAUCAGCGUCUGUCCCGGAGGAGCGAUAGGUGGGGCCUGAUUUACUGAGUUCUCACUCUCUGACUCUGGCCCGGGGUCACUUGAAGUGUAGGAAGUGUAGGAUGCAGAGGUACUAACUCCGGAAUUUCCCUCCAUUUCUUCGGGGUCUUCUUCUUCUUCCCCGCCUUCCUGCUCAGCCUCACCCCACUGCUGCAUAGGUCCGUAGCCUUGUGGAUCUAACCCAUCGGCGUUUGCAUCGGCCCAGGAAAAUUGUUGGUUUCCCAUGGGAGCUUCACCCAGAUCAUCUUCCAUGUCGACAUCAAACCCUUCUAAAUUCUCGUGAGCGUAUAAGUCGAUCUCGGGAGCUGCAGGUGGAGCAAUAUCACCCUCCACUCCUACAACGUCCACCAACUGGUCUGCUUCUUCUGGGUUCGGUGGCUGGGGUUCUUCCGGUGGUGGAGGCAGUGGAACAUUGACUAUGUUCUGAGCAGGUACCUGGACCUGCAUUUCCUCCAAAGCUAGAUGAAGAGAUAAGAUUUCGUCCAGCUGCUGGAAUCUUUCUGCCUCGAGCCUAUUAACAUUGGAUUCAGCUUCUUCUCUAGCCCUGUCUGCCAUACUCCUACUGGCAUCCAUGAAUCUCUGCAUUACCCUGAGCUUCUCUUCAUAUUCAUCUAUUCUUCUGGACUGCUCUCUCAUGAUUUUCUCCAUGUCGUGUUCCCUUGCUAAUGCCGCCUUCUUGUACAACUCUUUAUCGUGUCUGGCACCCAUUAAUUCCAUCUUGGCAUCUUCAUUUUUCUUCCUCUGAUUAUAGUAUUCCCUGAUGCAAGACUGGUGCAGGUUAUACAUGGCCGUCAUGUAGUCGGAGGCAGCAGCCACCAAGAUAUCAUGCUCUACGCGAGAAGAGUUCUUAAGGGCUUUAAUCCUUCUCUUCCAGAUUCCAUCGUCUUGAUGCUUUAUAGGAUAGAAUCGAGCAGAGCUCGACCCUAUUUCUACCUUGUGCUUCUCACAUAGGUCUGUGAGAGCAGUCAUAGCCGCCCUUUCAAUUGUAUCGUUAAACUCAAAACCCGACUCCAUCACUUCUUCCAGACGCCAAUUGGGGUUGGUGUCUUCAUCUGGGAUAUGAACAUAAACAGUGCAGCGCUGCUUGUGACACGUGUCCUCCUUCCUCCAAUAGUACUCUGGAGGGUUAUGGAAGCCUAACUCCUGCAGCGUUUUCCAUAGUAGCUGCACAAACCCUGGCUUGUCCAGGUAAUGCCCUCGGGUCCAUCCGUCCUGGUCGGUGUAGCCUUCUUGAAACAUCCUAUAAAAGAAACGAGGUUAGGUCUAGCGGCACUCACCAAACCCAAAAGUUUUUAAAACAUGCUUAUGCAACAUGAUGCAACGACUCCUACGUACUCACAGACUCAUAUACACACUCAUAGAGAAAUUGGUGGCAUCGUAAUCUCUCCCUAAUAAUAUAGUACCGAAUACAAGCGACACGCAGCAAACAGUUAGCAUCUGCAAAACAAACAACCAGUUAACACUACUGCCACCUGUGACUCAUGUUUUCUUUGUUUAAAAUAGAGUCUAAGUGUUUAAAUGGUAAUAUCUAUUGAUUAUCCCAACCUACGGCUCUGAUACCAGCUGUGGCGGAACCGUCCAACUUAAACUGGUUUAAGUGCGCCUAAUCGCUGCCGACGCAGCAAUUAUUCGAAACGCACUUAAAACAGCAUAAGUCCGGUCGUCCGUCGAGUGUCCCUAGGACUCCUCGAAAGAUCCACGUCGUGUCUCAUAGCCAUACAUCAGGAUUGUAUCCGCGAUGGGAUAGCAUCAACAAAUAUUACAUGUUUACAUACAUACACGAGGUACGAGUUAAUACAGGACAUAGUUUGAAGCAAACUUAACAGUGCAGUGUUAGACAGAGUUCUAGGAUUUAAAACAUAAACGGUUCGGAUGGAGAUGAGCAUUAUAAGACUUCUUCUAAGGGUAUUGUGAGACUCGUAACAAUACCCUAGGAUUUCGGGGCUUCCUCCUCGGUAGACUCCUGCGGUGUUUCUGAAAAUAGCCACAAGGGAUAAUCCUGAGUACGAGGUACUCAGCAGGGCUUACCCGACUAACCAAUAUAAUAGUUUCUCUUGGAAGUACAUGAUAGCUUUUUCGGUGUACUUGGCUGAUACAUUUUUGCCAAAAAGCUUACUAAAAGUGAGACCUUAGCUUUAUCUUUUAUUUGGGUUAAGUCUUUACCUAACCAUUCUAGGUGAUGAUAAAAGAUUAUUUGCAAACAACAAGGUAUUAAGUCAUACACCAAACAUUAUUAGAAAGAUAUGGCAUUCAUGAAUUUAUGCUACGAUGCUCAACAGUGAUCAAGUGCAUUCAUAACCGAGAAUUGCGGCGAUCCGGAUCAUAUUACAUCCUGCAGGAGAGUAUUCUGAUCACCAGCUAUAUACGACUGUCCAAGUCGUACGUAACGACUUUUCGAUUAGCAAAUCCAACGAUUGGGAAUAAGACUACCCGGACCCAGGGACGCACCCCCACAUGGGACCCCACGUCUGGCCCGAUCACCAUGUGAGUUUCAGGCUACGCCCCUGCCAAUCUCCAGCACGUCAAGCGCGGGUACGAAGUAUUCCAGAUCAGAGGGUUUACUAACCUACUAGGCUUUACUGGUCCCAUACCCAGUAAGUGAUCAGAUGUCUUUCACUUGAUCAAAGGUUAAGACAACGAAUCGGGCCUUAACCAGAUUAAUCUAGCAGACAGAACUACAUCCUUAGCUUCUGUCCGCUUCUUAAUUUCCAAGUCAUCUUUCCAUAAUUAACAUGCAUGACUCAAAAUUUACCUUAAGGUUUGGUAAAGCAAGUAUUUAAGCAACUAAGCCAUUGUAGACUUGGGUUAUCUACUAAAGGUUUGAACAAGUGGCAAAGAUGUCCUUAAAACAAGGUAUGAUCAUGCACAAGAAUGGGUUUCAAGCAACUCCUAGACUUAGUGCAUACAUAUAGCAAAUAACCAAUAAUGGACACAUGAAAUAUUGAUUCCAAAAUAAUAGGUAUAAUGCACCGGGGCUUGCCUUGUUCGCUAAAAAAGUUAGCACUGUCCGAAGGGUUGGCCUCGCAGGGGACCAAUUCAAAGACUUCCUCAAAUUCCGGAGAUCCUUCUGAAUAUUCCAAGAAAUCUCCUUCUGGUGCUUCGGUGUCUAUAACACAACAUAUGCAGGGUUUAGGAGUGCAAAUUUUUGAAUACAAGACCAUACAACUUUCCUUCAUGAUAAAGUUGCAAGCCAAUAAGGACUAUACAAUUUAUCAUGAUAAAGUUGCAAGCCAACACACAAAAACCCGAAAAGAUUAGCCCAAAAUUUUUAUUUCCUUAAUUAACCUUACUUAGGGCCUUUUCUUUUAUUUUUAGAAAAUGUUAUAAUUAUUUUCUAGCUUUAAAACCUAAUUUCCUAUGAAUUAAUAAUAAUUUGUAAUUAUGAAAAUGUUGUUCCAUAUUUUAUGCAUUUAAUAAAGAUUAAGUAUUUAUUUAAAUACCUUAAAAGAAAGGCAUUAAAUAAAUACCCAAAUUUUUAUUAUUUUUCUAGGGUAUAAAAAUUUUAAUGCAUAAAGGAAAAUAAAAUAAGCCUAACAAAAUUGGUUUCACUAAUUUUGGACACUCCUAGAAAUUUCUGUGAUUUAAAAGGUAAGAUUCGGAUUUAAACUAAUUAUUCUAUAAAGGAAAUCUAAUUUUCCCGAAAAAACACCCCCGGCAACUUUUCUCACGCGACCCUAUUCUACCCCCUCUCUCUUACGCUGGGCCCGCGACUCGGACCCACCCCUUCUCCUAUUUAUCCUACCCGCCGGCCUACCCCUCCUCUAACGGGCUCUCUGGGCCGAUUCUUCUUUUCCUUUUCUCUUCUCGGACCGGCACCGGCCCAACGGCCCACUCUUUCUUUUCUUUUUCCUUCUGCGAAACCUGGCCUGCUGAACUCCUGGGCCUCCGGCCUUUCUUCUAACGGCCGACCGCACAGGCUCCUUGGGCCUCCGGAACGCUGGCCCAACUGACGCCCGCGCUCGGCCUGCCUCUCUCUUCUUUCCUUCUCCCCACUGACGCGCGGGCCCGUGGCUCCAGUACCUUCUCCCUCCUCCCGCCAAAACAGGCGCGACAGGGGGCGGUGCGGCUCGCCGACCGGCGCCCCACCAGCGACGGGGCUGGGCCGGGGAAGCAUCCCCAUGCCCUAGCGCACCCGUGCGCGGCGACAGCUUCCCGGGAGAUGGCCGGAGCUACUCCCUCCACGGCGGCGGGCGGCGGCGCCUACGGCCGGUCGUGGCUAAGCACGACAACGGCUUAGCUUACCCCGACGACUCCCUCUACGGCUUUCUAGCAUCCCAAGGACCCGCCUACGACUACCCAAGAAGAAAGAGAACAAGAGCAAGGAGGUGCUCACCGUGAGCAGGAGGUGCAGCGACGGUGGACGGAAACGACGGCGGUGCAGGGUAUUCCGGCAAGGAUGUUGGACAACGACUCGACAGGGGUGUAGCUGGGGUAUCUAUGGAGGAGUGGGCGAGAGGAAUCGACGGGAGGUGAGGCGUGGCAGAGGAAUUUGGUCGGCGGCGAUGGCUUGGACAGAAGGGCGGCGGCGGUAAAAAGAACAGCGGUAGAAACGGUCGGCGGGAGCGGUAGAUAUACGAAAGAUUUCACCGCGCGCAUGGUUGCCACCGUGGUCUACUCGUAGGCUUGCGUGGUGAGGAGGUGGCCUAGCUGUCUUGAGCUGGACAGCGGCAGACGCACCGGCAGCGACACGUCCUGCUUGCUCUGUCGCCCCCCCACCCCCCCCCCCCUUCUUAUUUUUUGACGCCCGAAGUUCAGAGCUCCACCACGGCUGAUUUCGAAUCCGACGGUCCACAAGUCACUUAAGCAAAGUUGUAGAUAAACUCGAGCUCCACAAUUCAUAUUUAAACUCUUGCCCGAGAUUUUCAUUCAUUUGUUGGCAAUUUCAAAAUGUUUGGCCUCAGGUGACUGAAUUCCAUUGAAUUCCGAUUCAGUUCGUCAGUCACUUGGUCAUGGUCAUUUGCCCUACUUUGUAAAUCAUUUCAGUGGUCCAAAACCUUUCCUUUCAGUCCAACUUCUUCCCAUUUGUGUUCUACAACCACCAAGGGUUCCAUUUUGCCCAUAAACACUCACACCUUCUGUUCUACAUUUUUCUGAAAUCAGCUCCAAAUUCGGCCACAUAUUGCUGUUUUCAGACUUAGUCAAAUUCAGCAAUACAGUCUACCGUGACAAUGUGCUGACUUUGAGCUUAAAUUUGAAUUUGUUCCCCUCACUGUUCCUGAUCAAAAACACCUGAAGAUACUCGUCCAAAGUCCAUAAUUAAUCACUGUGUAGUUGUCUUGAUCCACUUAUUUGGAAAAUUGGUCGGAAAUUAAUUUCCAAAAUAGACUCUGCUGCUGUUUUUCUGAACUUCUAUUGUCGGAUGGUGAAUAGUGACUUCGGUUUUUAAUUUCUUUCUUUGAGUUUUCUUGAGGUAUUUGGGACCAGGUAUUGUCCCAAAUCUUGAUCCUCAAGUUCUAAUCACUUUGAUACUUCAAUUCCAUACUUUUGCUGAAUUUUCCUGAAUUUCAAAUUCAAAAUUCAAAUUUCGGUCAAAUUUGAUUCGAAUUUGAUUUUUAGCCAAUUUCUUCUCCUUUCCUUCAUGAAUUGCUU
rnacentral:lncRNA from 1 species